rnacentral:tRNA from 1 species
AGUAUCAUAUUUAAUGAAUUCAAUUUCGACUUGAAAAAUAGAUUAUUCUCUA